rnacentral:rRNA from 1 species
AGAGUUUGAUCCUGGCUCAGAAUCAACGCUGGCGGCGUGCCUCAGACAUGCAAGUCGAACGUGAAAGUCCCUUCGGGGGCGAGUAAAGUGGCGCACGGGUGAGUAACACGUGGGUAAUUUGCCUUCGGGUGGGGGAUACCGACCGGAAACGGUCGUUAAUACCGCAUGAUGCAGCGGCUCCGAUUGGAGACAGUUGUUAAAGCGGGGGAUCGGCAGCAAUGCCGACCUCGUGCCUGGAGAGAAGCCCGCGGCGGAUUAGGUAGUUGGUGGGGUAAUGGCUCACCAAGCCUGCGAUCCGUAACCGGCCUGAGAGGGCGGUCGGUCACACUGACACUUAGAUACGGGUCAGACUCCUACGGGAGGCAGCAGUCGGGAAUUUUGGGCAAUGGGCGCAAGCCUGACCCAGCAACGCCGCGUGAAGGAUGAAGCUUUUCGGAGUGUAAACUUCGCAAGAAUAGGAAGAAUAAGGGCGGGUGAACAUCCCGUCCGAUGACGGUACUAUUUGUAAGCUCCGGCUAACUCCGUGCCAGCAGCCGCGGUAAUACGGGGGGAGCAAGCGUUGUUCGGAUUUACUGGGCGUAAAGGGUGCGUAGGCGGCACCACAAGUCACUUGUGAAAUCUCGGAGCUCAACUCCGAGCGGUCAAGUGAUACUGUGGAGCUUGAGUGCAGAAGGGGCAAUCGGAAUUCUCGGUGUAGCGGUGAAAUGCGUAGAUAUCGAGAGGAACACCUGCGGCGAAGGCGGGUUGCUGGGCUGACACUGACGCUGAGGCACGAAAGCUAGGGGAGCAAACGGGAUUAGAUACCCCAGUAGUCC